GUCUUCGUGGUCUAGUUGGUCAGGACGUUUGUCUUACACACAAAAGAUCCCCGGUUCGAGCCCGGGCGAGGACA